rnacentral:rRNA from 1 species
AUUGAACGCUGGCGGCAGGCUUAACACAUGCAAGUCGAGCGGAGAGAGGUAGCUUGCUACUGAUCUUAGCGGCGGACGGGUGAGUAAUGCUUAGGAAUCUGCCUAUUAGUGGGGGACAACAUUUCGAAAGGAAUGCUAAUACCGCAUACGUCCUACGGGAGAAAGCAGGGGAUCUUCGGACCUUGCGCUAAUAGAUGAGCCUAAGUCGGAUUAGCUAGUUGGUGGGGUAAAGGCCUACCAAGGCGACGAUCUGUAGCGGGUCUGAGAGGAUGAUCCGCCACACUGGGACUGGGACACGGCCCAGAGUCCUACGGGAGGCAGCAGUGGGGGAUAUUGGACAAUGGGCGGAAGCCUGAUCCAGCCAUGCCGCGUGUGAAGAAGGCCUUAUGGUUGUAAAGCACUUUAAGCGAGGAGGAGGCUACUUUAGUUAAUACCUAGAGAUAGUGGACGUUACUCGCAGAAUAAGCACCGGCUAACUCUGUGCCAGCAGCCGCGGUAA